rnacentral:misc_RNA from 1 species
AUUAAUUUUUAUUUUUAUAUUUCUUCUAAGAAGUUAGCGAUAACCUUUCUACAAGAAUAUAAUGUCUGGUAUACCUCCAAUAGUUCCUAAAACUCUCCGGGAUGAAGUUUACAAAAUUCAAGAUCAGCUCAAAAUACUCAUCAACAAUCACAAGAUUUUGGAUUUUAGACUCACGCAGGAACCUGAGAAUAAUGAGUUAACAGUUCAAAUUAAUAAAGUGAAGGAGUAUAUAUUCUACUACAACCAACAGCAGUUGUAUCUUCUGGAGAAAAUCCGUGAGUUUCUCCGUCAUCUGGAGGCCGGUCAGUUUAUCAAGAAGCAGGAGCAAAUACCCACUGAACUUCCAAAAAAGAAACUGAAGAAAGAUUUCAAAUCAAUCAGUCAUUCUCCAGAACAAAGUGAAGUAGAGGAGGAGAGAGUAGGUCUAGAGUAUAUGGAGAACGAUGAUUUUUAUAAAGGACAUGUCGACUCAUAUCAUGUUGAAUGCCCUGAAGAAUACAAAGACGACAUUGUUUCAAGUCCGGUUAAACGGUUCCGACCUAAACCGGAUUUAACCAACUCCAAUCCAGACCAAAACCAGUUUCUGCUGAACCUAGAUCUGUUGGAGUCUAAUCUAAUAGAUGAAUAUCUAUCUAUCCUGAGAGCUCAGGAUGUGAAGAAAAGACAGCGAGAGUUUCUCUACGUGCCGGAAGUAUCGGAUAAAAAAUUUAGGAACCAGUCAUUUCUGUUGAAGAUUGCCUGCUCUCCGCCACAACUCCGCCGGAGGAAAGAGACGGCGGAUACAAAGCCAAGACCUGCCAGAGCUAUAACCUUUCCACCGGAGAGAAUGGAAACUAGAAAAAAGAACUCAAUGAAGCAAAGAAAGGAGACAGAGGAGCAACUGGAGAUUGAAAAACUGAUGAAGGAACAAGAAUCUGAAAACAUUCAAUAAUCAUUUUAGCAUUUAUUUAUUAAACUGAGAUGGAAUUUCUUUAAAUUCGGCCAUGGUCUAUUAAACUAUUUGGAUUACAAGAGCAAUUUAAUUAUUAAACUAUCUAUGCUUGUGAUUUUAACAAUAUAUACGUGCAUUUGUAAUUUACAUUCAAUUUACAUUGUGUGAUAAUUCCUUGAAUAAUGUAAUGUUUCUCCAUUAUCAUAAAAAGCAAGUCCUAAAGCCAAGAUUGAGAAUAAAAACGUUGGGAAAAAGUGGACGAGGGGAAAACAUUUAAAAAAAAAUUGUACAUCCUUUUUCCUUCAUUUAUUAUCAUAGUCGCAUUAAUUUUGGACGAGAAUCAACAUUUUCAUGUUUUCUUGGUUUGAAAAAAAGUUUGGGCGAAUCUAAAGGAUUAUCAGGAUAAUUAGCUUAGGGAAUUAGGGAAAAAGUAUUAAAAAACCUUGCAAGAUGUUGUCCCAGUUUCAUAAUUUUACCCGCGCAUCGCCGCGCUGCUGCGUCAAGAGACUGAGUUUGAAAAAUAAUUAGUUAUCAAUUAUUUUUAUCCUUUUGUAAUAAAAUAUAUACAUAUCGCGUUUA